UGAGGAAUCUUGCGCAAUGGGGGCAACCCUGACGCAGCAACGCCGCGUGAGUGAGGAAGGUCUUCGGAUCGUAAAGCUCUGUCAGGUGGGAAGAAAUAUGAGAGGGUUAAGAGCCUUCUUGCUUGACGGUACCACCAGAGGAAGCACCGGCCAACUCCGUGCCAGCAGCCGCGGUAAUACGGGGGGUGCAAGCGUUGUUCGGAAUCAUUGGGCGUAAAGAGCGUGUAGGCGGCUGGGUAAGUCAGAUGUGAAAGCCCUAAGCUUAACUUAGGAAGUGCAUUUGAAACUGUCCAGCUCGAGUAAGGGAGAGGAAAGUGGAAUUCCUGGUGUAGAGGUGAAAUUCGUAGAUAUCAGGAGGAACACCGGUGGCGAAGGCGACUUUCUGGCCCUAUACUGACGCUGAGACGCGAGAGCGUGGGUAGCAAACAGG
rnacentral:rRNA from 1 species